UACGAAGGGGGCUAGCGUUGUUCGGAUUUACUGGGCGUAAAGCGCACGCAGGCGGCUUAACAAGUUGGAGGUGAAAUCCCAGGGCUUAACCCUGGAACUGCCUUCAAAACUGUUAGGCUAGAGUUCGAGAGAGGAUGGUGGAAUUCCUAGUGUAGAGGUGAAAUUCGUAGAUAUUAGGAGGAACACCAGUGGCGAAGGCGGCCAUCUGGCUCGAUACUGACGCUCAUGUGCGAAAGCGUGGGGAGCAAACAGGAUUAGAUACCCUGGUAGUCCACGCUGUAAACGAUGAGUGCUAGUUGUUGGAACCUUUAGGUUUCAGUGACGCAGCUAACGCGUUAAGCACUCCGCCUGGGGAGUACGGUCGCAAGAUUAAA
rnacentral:rRNA from 1 species